AACGAACGCUGGCGGCAUGCCUAACACAUGCAAGUCGAACGAGAACUUCGGGUCUAGGGGCGCACGGGGGCGUAAGGCGGGGGAACCUGCACUUAGGUUAGGAAUAACUCCCCGAAAGGGGUGCUAAGACCGGAUAAUGUAUUAGGACAAAAGAUUUAUCGCCUUUGGAUGGGCCCGGGUUGGAUUAGCUAGUUGGUAGGGUAAAAGCCUACCAAGGCGACGAUCCAUAGCUGGUCUGAGAGGAUGCCCAGGCACACUGGGACUGCGACACGGCCCAGACUCCUACGCGAGGCAGCAGUGGGGAAUAUUGGACAAUGGGCGAAAGCCUGAUCCAGCCAUGCCGCGUGAGUGAUGAAGGCCUUAGGGUUGUAAAGCUCUUUUACCCGGGAUGAUAAUGACAGUACCGGGAGAAUAAGCUCCGGCUAACUCCGUG
rnacentral:rRNA from 1 species